UAUCUACAGUGUUUCUAAAAUUACCUCUCUGAGACUUUCGUCUAGCUUUAAGGAACUUCAGAUACAGAGGAAAUGAAACAUAUUUCUCCUCGAUGACUUUAAAAACAGCUGGGCAUUCAGUAAUCAUCAAGGUGGGCUCUACCUACGAUUAUUCACGUGGAAAGAAUUAACCUGUUGAACAAAUUAUUGGCGAGCCCAGCUUCAUCCUCUUGCCAUGGAGAACUGCCUAUAGUUCAUUAAUGUACCAGAAGAUCUCACUCUCAUGAUUUUGCUCAUGCUAUUUGCUCUCCGGAAUAAGCAAUCUAUUACAUUCCUACGUAUCUUCCAAAAUGCAGGUCAGGAUCGCCUCUGCUCUGGAACCUUCCUACACUGAGUGUUCAGCUGGGGGUUGCAUCAUAUAUGUAUUCAACCUGCCCACAUUCAGUUAUAUGCAUGCAAUCGAGAGAGAGAAAAUUCAAACAGCACAAGCAAGUGAACCACCAGCCAUUCCAGUCUACAAGUGUAAGCCCCACAGUGACAAGGAUGUGGAAGACUUGAAUCUGCUCUCCUUUGGUAUAUCUUCACUCCUAUGUGUCCCUCAUAGGGUGGACAUCCUGCAUUGCUUGUGUACCUUUUAAAACAGGCAUAUUUCAUCAAACCACAUGGCUGAUGCAAGCCAACUACUUUAUCUGAUACCCAACUGGAAAGACAACAGUCUUUUCUAAACGCUUAAAGAAAGACAGGCUGGUUUAGAUUCAGUGAGAAAUAGUAUGUAAGACUCCAACCUGAUGGCUCCUUUAGGAAUUUUCAAGGAUAAUUUUGACUACAUAAAAUUUUUUGCUUUAAGUGUCAACUUUAUAUUCUAACCCCACAUAAAAUAUGACUUUUCUUCACUGAUCUUACAGCUUUGAUCUCUUGACUGCCAGUUUUUAUUUAUAUGGUUAUGAGCUCAACGAGGAAUACAUCCAAAAUAUACCCAGUAUCCAAUAAAUGUUUGUAAAGUGAACAAAUUGUUUGGCUGAUGACAUCAAGUAUCAUCCCUGUUUGAAAACAGCUAUGAAAUCUGACAAGUAUAUACAUCAAGAUGUGAAAUAAUACCAAGCAAUGCUCUUUAAGAAGUUCACAGAUAACAGAAGCUUGCAAAAGACAGCUCUUCACAAUUGACACGAUGUCAAAUGUGGAAGCCAUGGUGAAAAUAUUUAGAACAUAUGACAGUUUGGACUCUCCUCAACCCAAUCAAAUCAAAUAUUCACCUAUCUUUCCUGGUCUUAGACAAAUCUUUACAGAAAGUAUAUUUGUUUACUUCUGUUAAGAUUUUUCAAAGCAUUUAACUUAUCAUUUAAUGAAAACUUUAUUUGCAACUGUAUUGACAACUCUCUGUAUUUGGUAGUAUCAGUGUUUUGGAGGUUUUUAAAGGAAGAACUAAAAAUUUUAAUUUUUAUACUUGUUUUAUAUAUAUAAGAGUAAAUCCAGUUGGGAUUUAUGAUUAUGUAGAUGUAUGAGGAAGUACCUUUAACAUAUACGCAGACACAUGCAUACAUACAACAAAAGUUUUCUUAAUGCUGGAAAAAGAAAAUGAUCAUGCAGUUAGGUUGAAAAAGAACAAUCCAAUUCUCAAAGAAGUGUGAGAUGAACCUUGUUUCUGGACAAGUAACAGUUACCUCUUAGGUUAUUGUGAGGGUUUAAUUAAUGAUAUUUGUGUAUAUUAUCACUUCUCACUAAUUGCUUAGAACAGUAAGUGGCAUGUCAUAAGUGGUCAAAUAUGUUGAACAUUUUAUUAAUAUUAUUAGCAUUUAAAAAAAAUGAUUCUCUGCUCUACAAAUAUGGAAAAGACUCAAGGUUUGAGCCUCUUUUUUUUUUGACUCAUGUCAAUAAAAUAGUCAUUUGCUUUCUGUCUGACAAGAUUUAGAGCUGUUCAAACAAUAUGUGAGUCUUUAAAUGCCAAAUUACGUUAGCCUUUAUGAUAUUUCUUUUAAUAUAGGCGAAAGAGCUGUGUCUUCCAAAAGUUCUGUUUAUUCGUUCUAUUUAAACUUCAUUAAAAUGCCCAUGUCUCAUGAUGUCACUGUUUAUUCAAAAUUGUUGCAGGUAAUAAUAUCAUGAACACUAGGUUGAAGAAAAGCUAGCGAUUCAUGUGCCUUUUCUAGCUCACCAAAUGUGUACUGUAAGCAGCAUUGAGAAAAGUCAGACACAAAAAUGAUGUUGAACUGUGAGAGAAGUCACAUUUCACAGCAAAGAAAACUGAACUCAAAGUAAGGCCUGAGGGUCAUUCUUGAUGAGGGACACUAUAGUCCGUACUGAUGCUCCCCAGCCUAGCCCACAAGAGGAACUCCUGCACCCAGAACAUAAAUGCUGGUGUUCCCUGUGGUCCACCCUGGCCUGCUCUGCUCCUCUACACACUCUCUCGGGUCAUUAAGUUCUGGGUGAUUUCAGGUGUUCAAAGAAUCACUUGUACAGUCCUUUUAAAUAUAUUCCUAUUCUUGGAACAGUUGAAAUGCUGUCUGGUUGCCCCGUUCUUAUGUAAUUAAGGAAUACCACUUCUGUGAACCUUCCCAGCACAAGACAAAUCUGCUUUUUCUGUCCCUGAGGUAGCUGCUAAUUUCUCUUACUGAAGAAAAGAAAAUCAUUAGUUUAAUUUCUGGAAGGGCACUCCUAUACCACAGUUAUAUGAUGUAAGUUCUACUCAGAGCUUCUCUAAGUAGAUAAGCUAAGUAGAUCCUUGGCUUUCGUAACUCUGAAAAGUGGAAGGAUGGUGGAGCAGAAAUGGUGAUGGGAGUGGAGGAUAGUCAAUUUAAAGCAGAUGGCAGCCCAUGGCUGUGAGAUGGCACUCACAGCCUUUCUUUCUAUUUUUUAGAAGUUUCUCUCUUGGGGAGAAAAUGCUAUUUUUACUCAGUCACCACCUAACAAACUGAGCCAAAAAGUUAUACUGAUCAUACAGAUAUUUUUAUGUACGAUCAUAUUUCUUGGGUUGUGUGAAUUACUGUAUACCGCCUAAAACAUCAUGAUGUGAUGUUACAAAUGGACUAGGACAGAGUGUGGUGUGUAUGCGUGUGUGUGUGUGUGUGUCUGUGUGUGCAGGGGGGCAUUCUGAUGAAGGGGGAAGGGAGCAAAAUAAUUCCCAGUACCCUGAAACUAUGAAUUUGGUGACAACUCUAUUUCUCU
ensembl:lncRNA